ACGUACCGGACGAACGUUAUUCGGAAUUACUGGGCUUAAAGAGUGCGUAGGCGGCUUUGUAGGUUGGGUGUGAAAUCCCACAGCUCAACUGUGGAACUGCGCUCAAAACCACAAAGCUUGAGGAAGGUAGAGGUAAGCGGAACUGAUGGUGGAGCGGUGAAAUGCGUUGAUAUCAUCAGGAACACCGGUGGCGAAGGCGGCUUACUGGGCCUUUUCUGACGCUGAGGCACGAAAGCUAGGGUAGCGAACGGG
rnacentral:rRNA from 1 species